rnacentral:rRNA from 1 species
UACGGAGGGUGCAAGCGUUAUCCGGAUUUACUGGGUUUAAAGGGUGCGUAGGUGGGCAGGUAAGUCAGUGGUGAAAUCUCUGGGCUUAACCCGGAAACUGCCAUUGAUACUAUUUGUCUUGAAUAUCGUGGAGGUCAGCGGAAUAUGUCAUGUAGCGGUGAAAUGCUUAGAUAUGACAUAGAACACCAAUUGCGAAGGCAGCUGGCUACACGAAUAUUGACACUGAUGCACGAAAGCGUGGGGAUCAAACAGG